CCUACGGGUGGCAGCAGUGGGGAAUAUUGGACAAUGGGGGCAACCCUGAUCCAGCCAUGCCGCGUGUGUGAAGAAGGCCCUCGGGUUGUAAAGCACUUUCAGUGAGGAAGAACGCCUGGUGGUUAAUACCCAUCAGGAAAGACAUCACUCACAGAAGAAGCACCGGCUAACUCCGUGCCAGCAGCCGCGGUAAUACGGAGGGUGCGAGCGUUAAUCGGAAUUACUGGGCGUAAAGCGCGCGUAGGUGGCUUGAUAAGCCGGUUGUGAAAGCCCCGGGCUCAACCUGGGAACGGCAUCCGGAACUGUCGAGCUAGAGUGCAGGAGAGGAAGGUAGAAUUCCCGGUGUAGCGGUGAAAUGCGUAGAGAUCGGGAGGAAUACCAGUGGCGAAGGCGGCCUUCUGGACUGACACUGACACUGAGGUGCGAAAGCGUGGGUAGCAAACAGGAUUAGAUACCCCGGUAGUC
rnacentral:rRNA from 1 species